rnacentral:lncRNA from 1 species
GUGAGGUCAUAGACAUAUAUACUUACUCUAAUAAUUAUCUAUAUGAUUAAGUAGAAAUAAAUAAAAGUAGAUAAGAAUAGAUUAAUUUCAUAAUAUCUUCUUGAAAAGCUUUUUAGAACCUUUAUAGAUACAAUUUUGACUUUAUAUAUUUUUACAGUUGACUUUUAGGUUAGAAAUUUGAUCAAUAAAUUAGCCACAUGUCACACGUUGUUGUAUUGUGUGAUUUUCUAUGUGAAAAUAUACUAGGUACCUAGCUGUAGAGAGUUUAGUUUUAACUUAUUGGCCAAGCUUCAAUAAGUUAUUUAACAUUAAAGGUAGAAGACAAAUAAAUACUACAACAUCAAAAAGAUAUUAUACUAAUAAAUCCUUUUAUAUUUAAGAAGGUUUGUAUAUAAGGCUUUCUAAAAUAUCUAGAAAUUUUCUAACACUCUUGGAUAUACCAAAUCAUAGCUAACCAUUUGCUGGUAGAUUAGGUUUUUGAUAACUUCAAAAGAAAUCCACAAUCUCCUCUCAAAAGUCCAUCUUUACACAAGAAUUCAACAAUAGCUCUAUAUAUCCAUCUUCAACAUAUAUAUGAAGUCUUAGCUUCCAAAAUACUUCUUUAUUUUGUAUUAAAUGUUCAAAUUAUAACAAAAAUCCUUCAAAAUAUAAUAUUCCUGCAAAUGAUUUCUUCUUUCCAAACUUUAGAAAUUCAUAUCUCUUGAUCCAACUAUUCAGAUUUUUCCAAAUUCAUGGAUAUUAUAGAAUUCACCUUUGAUCUUUAUUGUACAAAAAUUCAAUUAUAAAUUUGCUAUUGAUCAUUUGGCAUCUUAAAAAUCCUAGCAAGUGCUCUAAAAUCCUAAUUUACAAGCACCUAAGUACUAUUUUCUUUAUAUCUCACCAAUCUAAAAUCCAAAUAUCACAAAACUUAUAGAUAAUGUUUUAUUAUAUAAAAAUACAUAUUUUUAGAAAGUUUUAGCCAAAAUCUUAUCAAAUUGCAUAAGAUAUAACUCAAAACACAACUACUAGCAAUUUGUGUCACUUACUACCCUUAGAUUUACAAGCACUGAUUUCAACCUCCAAUAUGUUAUUUACUAAAACUUGAAAUCCAUCAAACAAUAUACCAAAAAUGUAGCCGAAAGAGUGCUCUCUCCAACCUUAGUCGUCGAUCCUUUAUUGCUAUCUAUAUGCGUGCGUUAUAUCCAAAAGCAUGACAAUAGGUACAAAAUCAAUAUCUUAACUUUGAGCACUCAUAUCUCUUUUAUAUAAACUCUAAAUGAAACAAAAUUUGUACCAAAAACAUAGCCAAAAACCUAAACUUGCUGACCUUAGCCUCCAAAGCUUAAAUGCCUUCGAAAAACUAACCCUAAUCUCUAAUAUGGCCUCGGGCAGCCUCCUUGAAGCCCACUCGUCAUGAUUUUUGAUCAAUAGGAAUGGAGAUUUUCAUCAUCCAUCUCCAUUCAUCCAUAUAGAUGUCCUUACUUCUCUUAUUUGCUACCAAGAUCCUUC